UACGGAGGGGGCUAGCGUUGUUCGGAAUUACUGGGCGUAAAGCGUGCGCAGGCGGUUUUGUAAGUCUGUCGUGAAAUCCCCGGGCUCAACCUGGGAAUUGCGAUGGAGACUGCAAGGCUAGAAUCUGGCAGAGGGGGGUAGAAUUCCACGUGUAGCAGUGAAAUGCGUAGAGAUGUGGAGGAACACCGAUGGCGAAGGCAGCCCCCUGGGUCAAGAUUGACGCUCAUGC
rnacentral:rRNA from 1 species